rnacentral:rRNA from 1 species
AGAUUGAACGCUGGCGGCAUGCCUUACACAUGCAAGUCGAACGGCAGCACGGGAGCAAUCCUGGUGGCGAGUGGCGAACGGGUGAGUAAUACAUCGGAACGUGCCCAAUCGUGGGGGAUAACGCAGCGAAAGCUGUGCUAAUACCGCAUAAGAUCUACGGAUGAAAGCAGGGGAUCGCAAGACCUUGCGCGAAUGGAGCGGCCGAUGGCAGAUUAGCUAGUUGGUGGGUAAAAGCCUACCAAGGCGACGAUCUGUAGCUGGUCUGAGAGGACGACCAGCCACACUGGAACUGAGACACGGUCCAGACUCCUACGGGAGCAGCAGUGGGGAAUUUUGGACAAUGGGCGCAAGCCUGAUCCAGCAAUGCGCGUGCAGGAUGAA